UCGAGAAUAGUCUACAAUGGUCGAAAGACUGAUAGUGCGACGCCGCGUGAACGAAGAAUCCCUUCGGGGUGUAAAGUUCUUUUUUAAUCGAGCAAUGCCUUUUAUGUGAAUAGCAUGAGAGGAGCGAUAUUAGCAUAUGAAUAAGCAACGGCUAACUCCGUGCCAGCAGCCGCGGUAACACGGGGGUUGCGAGCGUUGUCCGGAAUUACUAGGCGUAAAGGGCAGGUAGGCGGAUAGAUAAGUUUGAUGUUAAAGGCGACGGCUCACCCGUCGUAAGGCAUUAGAUACUGUUUAUCUGGAAUGCGGUUGGGGAAGACAGAAUUCCUGGUGUAGCGGUGGAAUGCGCAGAGAUCAGGAGGAAUACCAAAGGCGAAGGCAGUCUUCUAAGCCGUUAUUGACGCUAAACUGCGAAGGUGUGGGUAUCAAACA
rnacentral:rRNA from 1 species